GCUGGAGUUGUGGCUCAGUGGUAGAGUGCUUGCUUAGCAUGUGUGAGACACUGGGUUCAAUUCUCAGCACGGCA
rnacentral:tRNA from 1 species